rnacentral:rRNA from 1 species
GUCUUAUAGAUGUUAAUUUUAAGUCUAAUCUGCUCAAUGAUUUAUUAAAUAGCCGCAGUAUACUGACUGUGCAAAGGUAGCAUAAUCAUUUGUCUUUUAAUUGAGGGCUUGUAUGAAUGGUUGGACGAGAAAUAAACUUUCUUUACUUAAUUUUUAUGAAUUUAAUAUUUUGGUUAAAAGGCUAAGAUAUUUUUGUGGGACGAGAAGACCCUAUAGAAUUUUAUUAUUUAGUUUAUUUUCCUGAAUUAAUUUCUUAAUUUAGUUUAUUAAUUAAAUAAUUUGGUUGGGGUGAUUGUGAAAUUUUAUUAACUUUUAUUUGAAAUUAUUCAUUAAUUAUUGUUUUAAUAUUGAUCCUUUUUUAGGGAAUAAAAGAUUAAAUUACCUUAGGGAUAACAGCGUAAUUCUUUUGGAGAGUUCUUAUUAAUGAAGGAGUUUGCGACCUCGAUGUUGGAUUAAAGUUAAUUUUUGGUGUAGAAGCUAAAUAUAUUAGGUCUGUUCGACCUUUAAAUCUUUACA